UGCACUCUGGAACAUAUCAUCUGAAGGUUAUCAUUCUAAGUGAUUUACUCCAUAUUAUGGAUCUGUAAUUCUCCUUAUAACUUCAAGAAGGGAAUUAUUGGUUAUUGGAAUUCAUUUCGUAUUACUUCUUGAAUCUAGUUCCUUUGCAGCUAUAUUUCAUCAUUAAUUUGCUUCCUAGGACCUGUAGGAACUAUGGAUGGGGUAUGUUUGAUCUGACAUGUGGGUUAUUCAUCCAUAUUCUACAUUGAUAGGAAUCUUGUACUUUUAUUCCAACAGUGAUUUUUCAGUGUGAGGGUUUCUACUGUUAAACUAGGUCCUGGGUUUAUGUUCAGAUCAGUGCAUUAGUAUAUACUGUUUCAGCAGUACGUGCUAUCAUUUGUAUUCCAGUUA
rnacentral:misc_RNA from 1 species